rnacentral:rRNA from 1 species
GAUGAACGCUGGCGGCGUGCCUAAUACAUGCAAGUCGAGCGAACGGACGAGAAGCUUGCUUCUCUGAUGUUAGCGGCGGACGGGUGAGUAACACGUGGAUAACCUACCUAUAAGACUGGGAUAACUUCGGGAAACCGGAGCUAAUACCGGAUAAUAUUUUGAACCGCAUUGUUCAAAAGUGAAAGUCGGUCUUUCUUUCACUUAUAGAUUGAUCCGCGCUGCAUUAGCUAGUUGGUAAGGUAACGGCUUAGCAAGGCAACGAUGCAUAGCCGACCUGAGAGGGUGAUCGGCCACACUGGAACUGAGAAACAGUACAGACUCCUACGGGAGGCAGCAGUAGGGAAUCUUACGCAAUGGGCGAAAGCCUGACGGAGCAACGCCGCGUGAGUGAUGAAGGUCUUAGGAUCGUAAAACUCUGUUAUUAGGGAAGAACAUAUGUGUAAGUAACUGUGAACAUAUUGACGGUACCGAAUCAGAAAGCCACGGCUAACUACGUG